rnacentral:rRNA from 1 species
UGCGUAGGUGGCCAAUUAAGUCAAAUGUGAAAUCCCCGAGCUUAACUUGGGAAUUGCAUUCGAUACUGGUUGGCUAGAGUAUGGGAGAGGAUGGUAGAAUUCCAGGUGUAGCGGUGAAAUGCGUAGAGAUCUGGAGGAAUACCGAUGGCGAAGGCAGCCAUCUGGCCUAAUACUGACACUGAGGUACGAAAGCAGUGGGAGCAAACA